rnacentral:rRNA from 1 species
GCUUAGGAAUCUGCCCAGUAGUGGGGGAUAGCCCGGGGAAACCCGGAUUAAUACCGCAUACGUCCUACGGGAGAAAGCAGGGGAUCUUCGGACCUUGCGCUACUGGAUGAGCCUAAGUCGGAUUAGCUAGUUGGUGGGGUAAAGGCCUACCAAGGCGACGAUCCGUAGCUGGUCUGAGAGGAUGAUCAGCCACAUCGGGACUGAGACACGGCCCGAACUCCUACGGGAGGCAGCAGUGGGGAAUAUUGGACAAUGGGGGCAACCCUGAUCCAGCCAUGCCGCGUGUGUGAAGAAGGCUUUCGGGUUGUAAAGCACUUUCAGCGAGGAGGAAGGCUCUGAAGUUAAUACCUUCAGGGAUUGACGUUACUCGCAGAAGAAGCACCGGCUAACUCCGUGCCAGCAGCCGCGGUAAUACGGAGGGUGCAAGCGUUAAUCGGAAUUACUGGGCGUAAAGCGCGCGUAGGUGGUUAGGUAAGCGAGAUGUGAAAGCCCCGGGCUUAACCUGGGAACGGCAUUUCGAACUGUCUGACUAGAGUGUGGUAGAGGGUAGUGGAAUUUCCUGUGUAGCGGUGAAAUGCGUAGAUAUAGGAAGGAACACCAGUGGCGAAGGCGGCUACCUGGACCAGCACUGACACUGAGGUGCGAAAGCGUGGGGAGCAACAGGAUUAGAUACCCUGGUAGUCCACGCCGUAAACGAUGUCAACUAGCCGUUGGGACUCUUGAAGUCUUAGUGGCGCAGCUAACGCACUAAGUUGACCGCCUGGGGAGUACGGCCGCAAGGUUAAAACUCAAAUGAAUUGACGGGG